CCACCACUAAGCCAGUGGUGAACUCCACAUCCGCAUCCUUUGCUGAGGAUACGGUUAACGGAGCGAAAGCGACGUUCAACCGCAAAACAAGCAGAGGGGGCUUAGUGGUGGGGUGACUGCGUACCUUUUGUAUAAUGGGUCAGCGACUUAUAUUCUGUAGCAAGGUUAACCGAAUAGGGGAGCCGGAGGGAAACCGAGUCUUAAUUGGGCGUUAAGUUGCAGGGUAUAGACCCGAAACCCGGUGAUCUAGCCAUGGGCAGGUUGAAGGUUGGGUAACACUAACUGGAGGACCGAACCGACUAAUGUUGAAAAAUUAGCGGAUGACCUGUGGCUGGGGGUGAAAGGCCAAUCAAACCGGGAGAUAGCUGGUUCUCCCCGAAAGCUAUUUAGGUAGCGCCUCGUGAAUUCAUCUCCGGGGGUAGAGCACUGUUUCGGCUAGGGGGCCAUCCCGGCUUACCAACCCGAUGCAAACUGCGAAUACCGGAGAAUGUUAUCACGGGAGACACACGGCGGGUGCUAACGUCCGUCGUGAAGAGGGAAACAACCCAGACCGCCAGCUAAGGUCCCAAAGUCAUGGUUAAGUGGGAAACGAUGUGGGAAGGCCCAGACAGCCAGGAUGUUGGCUUAGAAGCAGCCAUCAUUUAAAGAAAGCGUAAUAGCUCACUGGUCGAGUCGGCCUGCGCGGAAGAUGUAACGGGGCUAAACCAUGCACCGAAGCUGCGGCAGCGAACGUAUCACCCAAGACAACUUUACGGAGUUGACGAUUGACGGAGCGAAGCGACGUCAAAGCGUUCAUUAAAGUCGAGUUGGCUUAGGGAUACGUUCGUUGGGUAGGGGAGCGUUCUGUAAGCCUGUGAAGGUGUGUCGUGAGGCAUGCUGGAGGUAUCAGAAGUGCGAAUGCUGACAUAAGUAACGAUAAAGCGGGUGAAAAGCCCGCUCGCCGGAAGACCAAGGGUUCCUGUCCAACGUUAAUCGGGGCAGGGUGAGUCGACCCCUAAGGCGAGGCCGAAAGGCGUAGUCGAUGGGAAACGGGUUAAUAUUCCCGUACUUGGUGUUACUGCGAAGGGGGGACGGAGAAGGCUAUGUUGGCCGGGCGACGGUUGUCCCGGUUUAAGCGUGUAGGUGUGUGUUCCAGGUAAAUCCGGUUCACUUUAACACUGAGGCGUGACGACGAGGCACUACGGUGCUGAAGCAACAAAUGCCCUGCUUCCAGGAAAAGCCUCUAAGCAUCAGGUAACACGAAAUCGUACCCCAAACCGACACAGGUGGUCAGGUAGAGAAUACCAAGGCGCUUGAGAGAACUCGGGUGAAGGAACUAGGCAAAAUGGUGCCGUAACUUCGGGAGAAGGCACGCUGACACGUAGGUGAAGUGAUUUACUCAUGGAGCUGAAGUCAGUCGAAGAUACCAGCUGGCUGCAACUGUUUAUUAAAAACACAGCACUGUGCAAACACGAAAGUGGACGUAUACGGUGUGACGCCUGCCCGGUGCCGGAAGGUUAAUUGAUGGGGUCAGCGUAAGCGAAGCUCCUGAUCGAAGCCCCGGUAAACGGCGGCCGUAACUAUAACGGUCCUAAGGUAGCGAAAUUCCUUGUCGGGUAAGUUCCGACCUGCACGAAUGGCGUAAUGAUGGCCAGGCUGUCUCCACCCGAGACUCAGUGAAAUUGAACUCGCUGUGAAGAUGCAGUGUACCCGCGGCAAGACGGAAAGACCCCGUGAACCUUUACUAUAGCUUGACACUGAACAUUGAGCCUUGAUGUGUAGGAUAGGUGGGAGGCUUUGAAGUGUGGACGCCAGUCUGCAUGGAGCCGACCUUGAAAUACCACCCUUUAAUGUUUGAUGUUCUAACGUGGACCCGUAAUCCGGGUUGCGGACAGUGUCUGGUGGGUAGUUUGACUGGGGCGGUCUCCUCCUAAAGAGUAACGGAGGAGCACGAAGGUUGGCUAAUCCUGGUCGGACAUCAGGAGGUUAGUGCAAUGGCAUAAGCCAGCUUGACUGCGAGCGUGACGGCGCGAGCAGGUGCGAAAGCAGGUCAUAGUGAUCCGGUGGUUCUGAAUGGAAGGGCCAUCGCUCAACGGAUAAAAGGUACUCCGGGGAUAACAGGCUGAUACCGCCCAAGAGUUCAUAUCGACGGCGGUGUUUGGCACCUCGAUGUCGGCUCAUCACAUCCUGGGGCUGAAGUAGGUCCCAAGGGUAUGGCUGUUCGCCAUUUAAAGUGGUACGCGAGCUGGGUUUAGAACGUCGUGAGACAGUUCGGUCCCUAUCUGCCGUGGGCGCUGGAGAACUGAGGGGGGCUGCUCCUAGUACGAGAGGACCGGAGUGGACGCAUCACUGGUGUUCGGGUUGUCAUGCCAAUGGCACUGCCCGGUAGCUAAAUGCGGAAGAGAUAAGUGCUGAAAGCAUCUAAGCACGAAACUUGCCCCGA
rnacentral:rRNA from 1 species